ACUCAAAUGAAUAGACGGGGGCCCGCACAAGCGGUGGAGCAUGUGGUUUAAUUCGACGCAACGCGAAGAACCUUACCUGGGUUAAAUCCGCCGGAACCUGCCAGAGAUGGUGGGGUGCCCUUCGGGGAACCGGUGAGAAGGUGCUGCAUGGCUGUCGUCAGCUCGUGUCGUGAGAUGUUGGGUUAAGUCCCGCAACGAGCGCAACCCUUGUCGUCAGUUGCCAACGGUUCGGCCGGGCACUCAGACGAGACUGCCGGUGUUAAACCGGAGGAAGGUGGGGAUGACGUCAAGUCCUCAUGGCCCUUAUGCCCAGGGCUACACACGUGCUACAAUGGCCGGUACAAAGGGCUGCGACACCGCGAGGUGAAGCCAAUCCCAAAAAACCGGUCUCAGUUCGGAUUGGAGUCUGCAACUCGACUCCAUGAAGUUGGAAUCGCUAGUAAUCGCGGAUCAGCACGCCGCGGUGAAUACGUUCCCGGGCCUUGUACACACCGCCCGU
rnacentral:rRNA from 1 species